CAUUCUUCAAACAAAUUCAUCUAUAGGAUCCCAGUACACUUGGCAUAAGAACAGAGCUGACCUGGUGGAAAAGUAGGCAGGGAGGGGUCUGAAGACCACCCACACAGCCUCCCAGAUCUCCCAGGUGCCCCGAGGCAGCUCCUUUCUACUAACGGGGCAUGAAGAGCCGUUUGAAAAUCACUCGAUAGCCCUCAGCUCCCACCAGUCCGCUGGAUCCGGGGGGCCUCUUGGAGAUUCCACCUCAACCAAGAGCCUGAUGCAAACCAUGAGCUGCCCCAGCAGAGGCCAGACUUAGCAGCCACCCACCCCCCCACCUCAGGACAGUGAGCUCUGGCAGCCAUAGGCCAAGUGGUUCCCAAAGUGUGGUUCCCGGCUCAUCGCUGGAAACUUGUGAGAAAUGCAGAUUCUCCGUUCUGACCCAGACCUACUGAAGCAGAAACUCUUGAGGCUGAGGCCUCAAGAGUUUUACAGACUUCGGGUGAUUCCAGCAUAUACCCAAGUCUCAGAACCACCCUAGAAAUAGAUGGUAAGAUACGCCCUGAAACAGCAGCUGAGGAGACGAGAACCUGGCAUUUUCUACAGACAUCUAUGUGGAGUAAAUCACAUGAAACGAAACGUCAGCAUUCUUGGCUUGUGGGACACAAGCACAAAGCCUUACUUCCAAUAGCAAGGAGGAACUGAACAGGAGGCUGCGCGCAUUGCUAUGCACACCUCCACUUCUCCGAGGCAUCUCGCCCGCAGAGUCUGACAGUUCCAGAUAAAACAGCAUGCAAAAUUGCCACCAAUACAGCAAAGUAGCCUGAAGAAACAAAUGUUCCAGUGAAAAACUCCUACACGUCCCAUCAAUAAUUCACUAUUUGUAGGAGAAGAAUUUGAUUACAUAAUUAUGGGGUUCGAUUGAACACGGUUUUUGCUACUGUAAACAGUCCAGCUAUGAACAUUCUUGGUCUCCUGGUAUCCACAUACAAGAGCUUCUCAGGAGUCUAGAUCUAGGAAUAAAGUCUGCUUGU